rnacentral:rRNA from 1 species
AUAAGGAGGGUGCAAGCGUUAAUCGGAAUUACUGGGCGUAAAGCGUACGUAGGCGGUUAUUUAAGUCAGAUGUGAAAGCCCCGGGCUUAACUUGGGGACUGCAUUUGAAACUGGGUAACUAGAGUUUAGUAGAGGGGAGUGGAAUUUCAGGUGUAGCGGUGAAAUGCGUAGAGAUCUGAAGGAACACCAGUGGCGAAGGCGACUCCCUGGACUAGAACUGACGCUGAGGUACGAAAGCGUGGGUAGCAAACAGGAUUAGAAACCCCGGUAGUCC